UUUGCCUUUGCUGACUGCUGAUCUGAUCGUCUCAAGUCUGGUGACCUGCUGCAGAAUACCCUCUCCUCUAUCAUUAACAAGCAAUUCAGUCUGUCCUAUCACUCUCCUCUCCC